GGCGGACGGGUGAGUAAUGCCUGGGAAUAUGCCUUANUGUGGGGGAUAACUAUUGGAAACGAUAGCUAAUACCGCAUAAUGCCUACGGGCCAAAGAGGGGGACCUUCGGGCCUCUCGCGCUAAGAUUAGCCCAGGUGGGAUUAGCUAGUUGGUGGGGUAAAGGCUCACCAAGGCGACGAUCCCUAGCUGGUCUGAGAGGAUGAUCAGCCACACUGGAACUGAGACACGGUCCAGACUCCUACGGGAGGCAGCAGUGGGGAAUAUUGCACAAUGGGGGAAACCCUGAUGCAGCCAUGCCGCGUGUAUGAAGAAGGCCUUCGGGUUGUAAAGUACUUUCAGUCGUGAGGAAGGUUGUGUANUUAAUAGCUGCGCAAUUUGACGUUAGCGACAGAAGAAGCACCGGCUAACUCCGUGCCAGCAGCCGCGGUAAUACGGAGGGUGCGAGCGUUAAUCGGAAUUACUGGGCGUANAGCGCAUGCAGGCGGUCUGUUAAGCAAGAUGUGAAAGCCCGGGGCUCNACCUCGGAACAGCAUUUUGAACUGGCAGACUAGAGUCUUGUAGAGGGGGGUAGAAUUUCAGGUGUAGCGGUGAAAUGCGUAGAGAUCUGAAGGAAUACCGGUGGCGAAGGCGGCCCCCUGNACAAAGACUGACGCUCAGAUGCGAAAGCGUGGGGAGCAAACNGGAUUANAUACCCUG
rnacentral:rRNA from 1 species